rnacentral:rRNA from 1 species
AGAGAGAGACAUGCGCGCAUAUCAAUAAGCGGAGGAAAAGAAACUAACAAGGAUUCCCUUAGUAACGGCGAGUGAAGCGGGAAGAGCUCAAAUUUGAAAUCUUCAAGGUUCUACCUUGACGAAUUGUAGUUUAUAGAAGUGUUUUCUGUUGGAGUUUGGUAAAAGUUCUUUGGAAUAGGACAUCAUAGAGGGUGAGAAUCCCGUAUUUGGUCAUUCCUCCUAGCGUUGUGAUACACUUUCAACGAGUCGGAUUGUUUGGGAAUGCAGUCCAAAAUGGGUGGUAAAUUUCAUCUAAAGCUAAAUAUUGGCGAGAGACCGAUAGCGAACAAGUACCGUGAGGGAAAGAUGAAAAGAACUUUGAAAAGAGAGUUAAACAGUACGUGAAAUUGUCAAAAGGGAAGCGUUUGACACCAGUGUUGUUUUUCCGAAAAUCAAUUACGAAUGUUUUGUUUUUGAGGAGUUAUGACUUCAUCGGCUUGCUCCUUUCUUUACGAAACUUUCUUAAUGCACUUUUCGGUUAACAAGUCAACAUCAAUUUCUUUUGUUGUAAAAGGGUAUGAGGAAGGUGGCUUUCUUUUCGGAGAAAGUGUUUAUAGCCUUGUACCUCUGCAAUCGGAGAGAUUGAGGUCUGCAGCGUAGAUCCUUCGGGGUUAGAUACAUUUGUGCUAAGCUAUAGCCUUUCAUAGACAACUUGUUGACUAUGUUUAGUCUUGUAGCUUACUCGCUUGCGCUAUUUUACCUACGCUUAGGAUGUUGAUAGUCACAGCGUGUAC